rnacentral:rRNA from 1 species
AGUGAACGCUGGCGGUAGGCCUAACACAUGCAAGUCGAACGGCAGCACAGUAAGAGCUUGCUCUUACGGGUGGCGAGUGGCGGACGGGUGAGGAAUACAUCGGAAUCUACUUUUUCGUGGGGGAUAACGUAGGGAAACUUACGCUAAUACCGCAUACGACCUACGGGUGAAAGCAGGGGAUCUUCGGACCUUGCGCGAUUGAAUGAGCCGAUGUCGGAUUAGCUAGUUGGCGGGGUAAAGGCCCACCAAGGCGACGAUCCGUAGCUGGUCUGAGAGGAUGAUCAGACACACUGGAACUGAGACACGGUCCAGGGUCCUACGGGAGGCAGCAGUGGGGAAUAUUGGACAAUGGGCGCAAGCCUGAUCCAGCCAUACCGCGUGGGUGAAGAAGGCCUUCGGGUUGUAAAGCCCUUUUGUUGGGAAAGAAAAGCAGCAGGUUAAUACCCCGCUGUUCUGACGGUACCCAAAGAAUAAGCACCGGCUAACUUCGUG